GACGAACGCUGGCGGCGUGCUUAACACAUGCAAGUCGAACGGAAAGGCCCUGCUUUUGUGGGGUGCUCGAGUGGCGAACGGGUGAGUAACACGUGAGUAACCUGCCCUUGACUUUGGGAUAACUUCAGGAAACUGGGGCUAAUACCGGAUAGGAGCUCCUGCUGCAUGGUGGGGGUUGGAAAGUUUCGGCGGUUGGGGAUGGACUCGCGGCUUAUCAGCUUGUUGGUGAGGUAGUGGCUUACCAAGGCUUUGACGGGUAGCCGGCCUGAGAGGGUGGCCGGCCACAUUGGGACUGAGAUACGGCCCAGACUCCUACGGGAGGCAGCAGUGGGGAAUAUUGCACAAUGGGCGGAAGCCUGAUGCAGCAACGCCGCGUGCGGGAUGACGGCCUUCGGGUUGUAAACCGCUUUCGCCUGUGACGAAGCGUGAGUGACGGUAAUGGGUAAAGAAGCACCGGCUAACUACGUG
rnacentral:rRNA from 1 species